UUACCAUUCUAUAACUGGGGUGGAUAAUCAAGAGAUAUAUGUCGACGUCAUUCAGCCUGUUGAAGCUUUAUCAAUGAAUCGUUACUCUGUCCGUGCAAACGUAACAGUAUCAUAUUUAACCGAGCAAGAGGAGACGACCAGUCUACGACUGAUAAGAGUAACAAACCCGCGAGUUUGAUUCAAUUUCCACGGCGAUCCGUUCGAAUCGCGAGAUUGGAUCGGUUAAUUGAAAAAUUCAACGUGCGCGAUCGCUACCUAACGAGAUUUUCGUUACACCGUGGAUUAUCUCUGUGACAUUAUUCCAACGGCAUGGAAAUGCGCAGAUUUUACGAUUUGACGUAUUUCAACUUGAUCCGACUGGUUGACGAUAGUCGAGUGUAAGUCCGAAUAGAAAAUAUAAUAUAUUAUUCAUGAUUAAAUUGUCACGGAAGAAUGAAACAUCGUUCAUCUUGACGUCAGUCAAAAGUGCAAAACAAAUGCGAAAGCUGUGUUUUCUUUUCGUAUUUUUAUCGUCGAAAAAGUUUCGUUCCAGUAAUACUGCGAGACAGCGUUUCGAGCGAGGAUUAUUUUCCACCGGACACGACUGCUGCUCGAGGGUGAAGCAAGUUUCCGGUCGUCGUGCGGCACGAAGCGUUGUCGUUGUCAUCAAACUCGCAUUCACUUUACACCAGCUGAGAGGACAAGCGCGCUGUGUGCAACGCUCGCAAAAAUCCACUUUCCAGCUUUGAGCUCCACUCCCGCUCGAUGAAUUAUUCCAUCGAACAAGACGGAUGAGGAAUAAUAUUCCAAUUUCGCUGCUCUAACGCGGCCACCUUCGAUCCUCGACAUAAUGGGCCGCCACGAUCUUGUUAUGUGAAUUAUGCGACAUCCUGUCCAGACUCGUGCACACUGUAGGAACAACGUCGAAAUUCCCGAGGACGUGCUCCGAAGCUGUUACGAUGUUACCCGAGUUUCGAGUUAAUUUCAAAAAGAAGAGACCGGACUAAAUAUUUUGUGACAAUAAAAGACUGCUUUACACAGAAGAAAGCCAUGUAGUAAUAAGAAACUUGAAACUGUAUCGGUUACCGUUAGUCUAUUAUAUUUUAUCGAAGCUGAUAUCCUGAGAAUAGUACAGCUAUUACAAAA